AGGAGCUUACCAUGCAAGUCGAGCGCACUCUUCGGAGUGAGCGGCGGACGGGUUAGUAACGCGUGGGAACGUGCCCUUCUCUAAGGAAUAGCCACUGGAAACGGUGAGUAAUACCUUAUACGCCCUUCGGGGGAAAGAUUUAUCGGAGAAGGAUCGGCCCGCGUUAGAUUAGAUAGUUGGUGGGGUAAUGGCCUACCAAGUCUACGAUCUAUAGCUGGUUUUAGAGGAUGAUCAGCAACACUGGGACUGAGACACGGCCCAGACUCCUACGGGAGGCAGCAGUGGGGAAUCUUGGACAAUGGGCGCAAGCCUGAUCCAGCCAUGCCGCGUGAGUGAUGAAGGCCUUAGGGUCGUAAAGCUCUUUCGCCAGAGAUGAUAAUGACAGUAUCUGGUAAAGAAACCCCGGCUAACUCCGUGCCAGCAGCCGCGGUAAUACGGAGGGGGUUAGCGUUGUUCGGAAUUACUGGGCGUAAAGCGCACGUAGGCGGAUCAGAAAGUAUAGGGUGAAAUCCCAGGGCUCAACCCUGGAACUGCCUUGUAAACUCCUGGUCUUGAGUUCGAGAGAGGUGAGUGGAAUUCCGAGUGUAGAGGUGAAAUUCGUAGAUAUUCGGAGGAACACCAGUGGCGAAGGCGGCUCACUGGCUCGAUACUGACGCUGAGGUGCGAAAGUGUGGGGAGCAAACAGGAUUAGAUACCCUGGUAGUC
rnacentral:rRNA from 1 species